rnacentral:rRNA from 1 species
GGUCCUACGGGAGGCAGCAGUGGGGAAUAUUGCACAAUGGGGGAAACCCUGAUGCAGCGACGCCGCGUGGGCGAGGAAGUACCUCGGUAUGUAAAGCCCUAUCAGCAGGGAAGAAAAUGACGGUACCUGACUAAGAAGCCCCGGCUAACUACGUGCCAGCAGCCGCGGUAAUACGUAGGGGGCAAGCGUUAUCCGGAUUUACUGGGCGUAAAGGGAGCGUAGACGGCAGAGCAAGUCUGAAGUGAAAGCCCGCGGCCCAACUGCGGGACUGCUUUGGAAACUGCCCGGCUAGAGUGCUGGAGAGG